AUCCAGCUGACGAGUCCCAAAUAGGACGCGCAUCCUGGAU
rfam:Schistosoma rodhaini strain Burundi genome assembly, scaffold: SROB_scaffold0000488